rnacentral:rRNA from 1 species
CAGUCGCCGCGGUAACACCAGCAGCCUAAGUGGUGGUCGCGAUUAUUGGGCCUAAAGCGCUCGUGGCCGGGCCGGUAAGUCCCUUGUGAAAUCGGACGGCCUAACCGUUCGGCGUGCAAGGGAUACUGUCGGUCUUGAGGCCGGGAGACGUCCGAGGUACUCCGGGGGUAGCGGUGAAAUGUUCUGAUCCUCGGGGGACCACCGGUGGCGAAGGCGUUCGACGAGAACGGGCCUGACGGUGAGGGGCGAAGGCUAGGGGAGCAAACGGGAUUAGAUACCCGGGUAGUCCCUGUCUCUUAUA